GACGAACGCUGGCGGCGUGCUUAACACAUGCAAGUCGAACGGAAAGGCCCUGCUUUUGUGGGGUGCUCGAGUGGCGAACGGGUGAGUAACACGUGAGUUACCUGCCCUUGACUUUGGGAUAACUUCAGGAAACUGGGGCUAAUACCGGAUAGGAGCUCCUGCUGCAUGGUGGGGGUUGGAAAGUUUCGGCGGUUGGGGAUGGACUCGCGGCUUAUCAGCUUGUUGGUGGGGUAGUGGCUUACCAAGGCUUUGACGGGUAGCCGGCCUGAGAGGGUGACCGGCCACAUUGGGACUGAGAUACGGCCCAGACUCCUACGGGAGGCAGCGGUGGGGAAUAUUGCACAAUGGGCGGAAGCCUGAUGCAGCAACGCCGCGUGCGGGAUGACGGCCUUCGGGUUGUAAACCGCUUUCGCCUGUGACGAAGCGUGAGUGACGGUAAUGGGUAAAGAAGCACCGGCUAACUACGUG
rnacentral:rRNA from 1 species